rnacentral:tRNA from 1 species
GGAGACGUGUCCGAGUGGCUGAAGGAGCACGCUUGGAAAGCGUGUAUACGUUUAUGCGUAUCCAGGGUUCGAAUCCCUGCGUCUCCGCCA